rnacentral:tRNA from 1 species
UUCCUGGUGGUCCAGUGGCUAGGACUCCAGGCUCCGGAUGCAGAGGGCCUGGGUUCGAUCCCCGGUCAGGGAA